rnacentral:rRNA from 1 species
UACGAAGGGGGCGAGCGUUGUUCGGAAUUACUGGGCGUAAAGGGCGCGUAGGCGGCCGAUCAAGUCAGAUGUGAAAUCCCCGGGCUCAACCUGGGAACUGCAUUUGUGACUGCAUCGCUGGAGUGCGGCAGAGGGGGAUGGAAUUCCGCGUGUAGCAGUGAAAUGCGUAGAUAUGCGGAGGAACACCGAUGGCGAAGGCAAUCCCCUGGGCCUGCACUGACGCUCAUGCACGAAAGCGUGGGGAGCAAACAGG